rnacentral:rRNA from 1 species
CCCUAUGGGGUGCAGCAGGCGCGGAACCUUUACACUACACGAAAGUGUGAUAAGGGAAUCCUAAGUGCUUAUGUUAUGCAUAGGCUUUUGUUAAGAGUAAAAAUCUUAGCGAAUAAGUGGUGGGUAAGACUGGUGCCAGCAGCCGCGGUAACACCAGCGCCACGAGUGGCGGCCAUAUUUAUUGGGCCUAAAGCGUCCGUAGCCGGUUUAGUAAAUCUUCUGUGAAAUCAUUGGGCUUAACUUAAUGAAGUGCAGAAGACACUGCUAGACUAGGAACCGGGAGGAGUCAGAGGUAUUCUGGGGGGCGCGGUAAAAUGCGAUAAUCCUCAGAGGACCACCUGUGGCGAAGGCGUCUGACUAGAACGGGUUCGACGGUGAGGGACGAAAGCUAGGGGAGCAAACCGGAUUAGAUACCCGAGUAGUCCUAGCUGUAAACGUUGUGAGUUAGGUGUUACAUAUUCUCCGUGAAUAUGUAGUGUCGAAGCGAAGGCAUUAAACUCACCGCCUGGGAAGUAUAGUCGCAAGACCGAAACUUAAAGGAAUUGGCGGGGGAGCGCUACAAGGGGUGCGGCGCGCGGUUUAAUCUAACUUCACACAGAAUAUCUCACCAGAGGCGACGGCAGGAUGAAAGUCAGUCUAAAGGGCUUACUAGACAAGCCGAGAGGUGGUGCAUGGCCA